CGGGAGGAACACCAGUGGCGAAGGCGGCCUACUGGGCACUAACUGACGCUGAGGCUCGAAAGCAUGGGUAGCAAACAGGAUUAGAUACCCUGGUAGUCCAUGCCGUAAACGAUGAUUACUAGGUGUGGGGAGAUUGACCCUCUCCGUGCCGCAGUUAACACAAUAAGUAAUCCACCUGGGGAGCACGACCGCAAGGUUGAAACUCAAAGGAAUUGACGGGGGCCCACACAAGCAGUGGAGUAUGUGGUUUAAUUCGAAGCAACGCGAAGAACCUUACCAGGUCUUGACAUCCAACGACCGCCUAAGAGAUUAGGUUUUCCUUCGGGACGUUGAGACAGGUGGUGCAUGGUUGUCGUCAGCUCGUGUCGUGAGAUGUUGGGUUAAGUCCCGCAACGAGCGCAACCCUUAUCGUCAGUUACUACGCAAGAGGACUCUGGCGAGACUGCCGUUGACAAAACGGAGGAAGGUGGGGAUGACGUCAAAUCAUCAUGCCCUUUAUGACCUGGGCUACACACGUACUACAAUGGCUGCAAACAAAGAGAAGCGAAGCCGCGAGGCAGAGCAAACCUCAUAAACGCAGUCUCAGUUCGGAUUGCAGGCUGCAACCCGCCUGCAUGAAGCCGGAAUUGCUAGUAAUCGCGGAUCAGCAUGCCGCGGUGAAUACGUUCCCGGGCCUUGUACACACCGCCCGUCACACCAUGAGAGCCGGGGGGACCCGAAGUCGGUAGUCUAACCGCAAGGAGGACGCCGCCGAAGGUAAAACUGGUGAUUGGGGUGAAGUCGUAACAAGGUAACCA
rnacentral:rRNA from 1 species